rnacentral:rRNA from 1 species
AGAGUUUGAUCCUGGCUCAGAUUGAACGCUGGCGGCAUGCUUUACACAUGCAAGUCGAACGGCAGCACAGGGAGCUUGCUCCCGGGUGGCGAGUGGCGCACGGGUGAGUAAUACAUCGGAACGUGUCCUGUUGUGGGGGAUAACUGCUCGAAAGGGUGGCUAAUACCGCAUGAGACCUGAGGGUGAAAGCGGGGGAUCGCAAGACCUCGCGCAAUUGGAGCGGCCGAUGCCGAUUAGCUAGUUGGUGAGGUAAAGGCUCACAAGGCGACGAUCGGUAGCUGGUCUGAGAGGACGACCAGCCACACUGGGACUGAGACACGGCCCAGGACUCCGUACGGGAGGCGA